AUGUAUUUCCAUAAUUACACCAGUGUGCCUGCCUCUUUUGCCUUGUUCACCUUCUCCAGCUCUUCUGCCUCUGCCAUCCCUGAGACAGCAAGAUCAAUCCCUCCUCUUCCUCUUCAGCCUACUCAACGACAAAGAUUGAGGAUGAAGACCUUUAUGAUGGUCCACUUCCACUUAAUGAACAGCUGAAACCAUUGAAGUCCUUAGAUCAGCUUUAAGCACUGGAUGGAGUAAAAACCAUAAGCGACUACAAGGUGAUCUGUGAACAGACUGGCAGACAGAUGACAAGAGGGAAUGACAACAAAAAUAGACAAAAAGUAUGGUCUCCUGGUGAGCUAGUCAAAUUACUUGCUUAUUAAAAUGUUAGAAAUAAACAAACAUUAACGAAAUAAAAAUCUGAAACUGAGCCCCAGACUUAAGACUACUAGAAAGGCUCACCAAGUAAAACCUUCAGUUGGGUCAAGUGAGCUCUCUGAAUGUUUUGUACAACCUGCUGCAGUUUGUUCCCCUUGGGCAAGGUGAUGCUUUGUCCUGUGUGCAGCCUCUAACACCAUCACCGUCCCCAAGUGCAGCUCCCGUUCUAAAAAAGAUACCUCCCACCCCCAAUUCCUGGUGACUGCCAAACUCUCCUGACUGCAGAAACUGACUCUGAAGGAGGAAGGUGCACCAGUGGUGGAGGCAGGUGGGCAAGCGGGUCCGGCAGGGAUGGUUUCCUGGAGAAACCAUUUGGAUCUUUUCUCCAGAUGCCUAACAUGUGCUUAAGAGUUUUUUUUUUAAGUUCGAAAAAAACUCCAUUGUGAAAACUGAGUUAUGAAGAGUGCUCUUUAUUUGAAACCUCCACAACACAGACGCCAAUCUUGUCUCGCAUUGAAUCAUUAGCUGUGCACAUCAACACAUUCCAAGCACAAAUUAAGAAAUGCAAACAGAACAAAAAAAUAUAUAUAUAUAUAAUUUUUUCCCCUAUCCAAAGGUUUCAAGUCUCAAUGCAGCAAAUCCUUCUGAACACAGAAUCUGAGGAGCACACUGUUCAAACAGUUGGGACAGACAGGUCCCUGCAAAGGCUACUGCCUUUU
rnacentral:lncRNA from 1 species